GAUGAACGCUGGCGGCGUGCCUAAUACAUGCAAGUCGAGCGAACAGACGAGGAGCUUGCUCCUCUGACGUUAGCGGCGGACGGGUGAGUAACACGUGGAUAACCUACCUAUAAGACUGGGAUAACUUCGGGAAACCGGAGCUAAUACCGGAUAAUAUAUUGAACCGCAUGGUUCAAUAGUGAAAGACGGUUUUGCUGUCACUUAUAGAUGGAUCCGCGCCGCAUUAGCUAGUUGGUAAGGUAAAGGCUUACCAAGGCGACGAUGCGUAGCCGACCUGAGAGGGGGCUCGGCCACACUGGAACUGAGACACGGUCCAGGCUCCUACGGGAGGCAGCAGUAGGGAAUCUUCCGCGAUGGGCGAAAGCCUGACGGAGCAACGCCGCGUGAGUGAUGAAGGUCUUCGGAUCGUAAAACUCUGUUAUUAGGGAAGAACAAAUGUGUAAGUAACUAUGCACGUCUUGACGGUACCUAAUCAGAAAGCCCCGGCUAACUACGUG
rnacentral:rRNA from 1 species